rnacentral:rRNA from 1 species
CCUACGGGAGGCAGCAGUGGGGAAUAUUGCACAAUGGGCGCAAGCCUGAUGCAGCGACGCCGCGUGGGGGAUGACGGCCUUCGGGUUGUAAACUCCUUUCAGCCAUGACGAAGCCUUCGGGUGACGGUAGUGGUAGAAGAAGCACCGGCUAACUACGUGCCAGCAGCCGCGGUAAUACGUAGGGUGCGAGCGUUGUCCGGAAUUACUGGGCGUAAAGAGCUCGUAGGUGGUCUGUCGCGUCAUUUGUGAAAGCCCGGGGCUUAACUCCGGGUUGGCAGGUGAUACGGGCAUGACUGGAGUACUGUAGGGGAGACUGGAAUUCCUGGUGUAGCGGUGAAAUGCGCAGAUAUCAGGAGGAACACCGGUGGCGAAGGCGGGUCUCUGGGCAGUAACUGACGCUGAGGAGCGAAAGCAUGGGUAGCGAACAGGAUUAGAUACCCUGGUAGUCCAUGCCGUAAACGGUGGGCGCUAGGUGUGGGUUUCCUUCCACGGGAUCCGUGCCGUAGCUAACGCAUUAAGCGCCCCGCCUGGGGAGUACGGCCGCAAGGCUAAAACUCAAAGGAAUUGACGGGGGCCCGCACAAGCGGCGGAGCAUGUGGAUUAAUUCGAUGCAACGCGAAGAACCUUACCUGGGCUUGACAUGCACUGGAUGCGGCCAGAGAUGGUUGUUCCCUUUGUGGCUGGUGUGCAGGUGGUGCAUGGUUGUCGUCAGCUCGUGUCGUGAGAUGUUGGGUUAAGUCCC